UCCUGAAUGGUGUAGUGGUUUGACGGUUGGACUAUGAAUCUGGAGACUAGGGUUCGAUUCCCAGGUCGGCUA